GCAAACAGCUGAAUUAAAGAUCGGCUUAUCUAUUUACAGUUAUUUUAAGGUGUAACAAUGUCUCUAAGUGUUAAAGCAAAAUCGAAAAUUGUUUCUGAUUUUGGUCGUGAUGCU
rnacentral:ncRNA from 1 species